rnacentral:rRNA from 1 species
GACGAAGGGGGCUAGCGUUGUUCGGAAUUACCGGGCGUAAAGCGCGUGUAGGCGGUUGUUCAAGUCAGGUGUGAAAGCCUUGAGCUCAACUCAAGAAAUGCACUUGAUACUGGAUGACUAGAGGACCGGAGAGGAUAGUGGAAUUCCCAGUGUAGUGGUGAAAUACGUAGAGAUUGGGAAGAACACCAGUGGCGAAGGCGGCUAUCUGGACGGUUUCUGACGCUAAGACGCGAAAGCGUGGGGAGCAAACAGG